rnacentral:rRNA from 1 species
CAAAAACAUCUUUUAAUGAAUUUUAUAUUAAAUAAAACCUGCUCCCUGUAAAAUAAAAAGCCGCAGAAAAUUUACUGUGCUAAGGUAGCAUAAUCACUUGUCUUUUAAUUAAAGACUAGAAUGAAAGGUUCAACAAUUAAUUAACUUUCUUAAUUAUUUAACUUUAACUUCCAAUAAAAAUAAAAAUAUUUUUAUUUAAAUAAAAGACGACAAGACCCUCUCGAACUUAACUGUAGUUAAGCUGGGGAAGCUUACUAAUAAUUAUCUUAAUUUUUUAAUUUAAAUAAAGAUCCUUACUUUGAAAUUGAUUAAGUUACCGAAGGGAUAACAGCGUUAUAUAUUUUUUAAGCUCAUAUUUAUAAAAAUAUAUACGACCUCGAUGUUGAAUUAAUUUAGCUAAUUUAUGCAAGAAUAAAUAAAGCAAGUCUGUUCGACUUUUAAAUAAUUACAUGAUCUGAGUUCAAACCGG